UACAUAGGGUGCAAGCGUUAAUCGGAAUUACUGGGCGUAAAGCGUGCGCAGGCGGUUUCGUAAGUCUGUCGUGAAAUCCCCGGGCUUAACCUGGGAAUGGCGAUGGAGACUGCGAGGCUAGAGUUUGGCAGAGGGGGGUAGAAUUCCACGUGUAGCAGUGAAAUGCGUAGAGAUGUGGAGGAACACCGAUGGCGAAGGCAGCCCCCUGGGUCAAAACUGACGCUCAUGCACGAAAGCGUGGGGAGCAAACAGG
rnacentral:rRNA from 1 species